AUCCAACUGACGAGUUCCGAAUAAGACGAAACGCGCGUCAUGGAU
rnacentral:hammerhead_ribozyme from 1 species